rnacentral:rRNA from 1 species
GCAUAACGCGAAGAACCUUACCCACCUUUGACAUGUACGGAAUCCUUUAGAGAUAGAGGAGUGCUCGAAAGAGAGCCGUAACACAGGUGCUGCAUGGCUGUCGUCAGCUCGUGUCGUGAGAUGUUGGGUUAAGUCCCGCAACGAGCGCAACCCUUGCCAUUAGUUGCUACAUUUAGUUGAGCACUCUAAUGGGACUGCCGGUGACAAACCGGAGGAAGGUGGGGAUGACGUCAAGUCCUCAUGGCCCUUAUAGGUGGGGCUACACACGUCAUACAAUGGCUGGUACAAAGGGUUGCCAACCCGCGAGGGGGAGCUAAUCCCAUAAAGCCAGUCGUAGUCCGGAUCGCAGUCUGCAACUCGACUGCGUGAAGUCGGAAUCGCUAGUAAUCGUGGAUCAGAAUGUCACGGUGAAUACGUUCCCGGGUC